rnacentral:lncRNA from 1 species
GUGUGCCGCUGGGUGGCCCUGCGAGCCGCCGCUCUCCGCCUCUCUAGGCUCAGCUUCCAUCACCGCGUGGCGGAGCCCGUGUCCGGGCCAGCCACCCAGCCCCACGGUGGGCCUUGCCUCGUCUGUUAGGUGGUAUUUUCAUCUUUGGUCAGAUGACAGCCCCCAUGCUCCAAAAAUUCUCCUGCAGCCAGGGCUUGGAGAAUCCCGACCCCUCUCUGGCAUGAACCUCUCCUCAUCCAGGGUGGCUUGUGUGGUAGAGCCAGGGGAAUGGAGAAGAUGACCUCUGAAGCCUGAAGGCUCUUUGGGAAGCAGGACACAAACAUCCUGAAGAGCCAGCCUUGAGCUGGCUGCACAAGAGACUCAUAGACUUUGCGUCAACAUCCACCUCUCCAGGCUGCAGUGGGUGUACCUGUUCACCACCACCUCCAGCAGCACUGUCGCAGCGGAGCAGUUCUUACAGCCAAUGAGCUUCCACACCACCUCCCUGCAGUUCUCUGCAACCGAGGCUCCAUCCUGCACUGAUGGGCUGCCUGACACGUCGGCCUCAACAAGCAUUUCCAGCACAUUCUCAGCUUUCCUGCUCUGCUGGGCAAAACACAGGGUGAGAAGGGGAGAGGAAGAACGGGACUGUGGCCCAGUUCUAGGCUUGGAGUCUAGCGAGGAACACCAGGUGCCUGCAUUAAAAGGAUGGUUGGAGAGACAAAAGAGGAAAAUGAAUGCUUCCACGAAGCUCCCUCUUUGUGGCAGAAUCAGUCCAAUGGAGAAAUUCUGAAAUUCCAGUUUUACAAAGUUCUUCAAACUUACCUCAAGGAUGGCACCAGCUGAAGCUCAGUUGCCCUGUCUCUUAUGCACCAGUGCAUCUGCCCCAGAAACUCUUAUCUGGGGCUCAGUUUGCCCCCAUGUGGUAUAAGUCCCUCCAAAGAUUCCAUUUCUAGUUACUCGUCUCAAUGUCACAAUGAGAAAUAUUUCUGCAUAUUUCCUGCAAAGCGUCUCAUUAAAGAAAGUAUUGGUUUGAUUCAGAAAAUGC